rnacentral:rRNA from 1 species
AACGAACGCUGGCGGCAGGCUUAACACAUGCAAGUCGAACGCCCCGCAAGGGGAGUGGCAGACGGGUGAGUAACGCGUGGGAAUCUACCCAGUUCUACGGAACAACUGAGGGAAACUUCAGCUAAUACCGUAUACGCCCUACGGGGGAAAGAUUUAUCGGAAUUGGAUGAGCCCGCGUUGGAUUAGCUAGUUGGUGAGGUAACGGCUCACCAAGGCGACGAUCCAUAGCUGGUCUGAGAGGAUGAUCAGCCACACUGGGACUGAGACACGGCCCAGACUCCUACGGGAGGCAGCAGUGGGGAAUAUUGGACAAUGGGCGCAAGCCUGAUCCAGCCAUGCCGCGUGAGUGAUGAAGGCCUUAGGGUUGUAAAGCUCUUUCAGUGGGGACGAUAAUGACGGUACCCACAGAAGAAGCCCCGGCUAACUUCGUGCCAGCCGCCGCUGUAAGAC